AAAAUAGACCACACUUAGUCUUUUGCACUCCUGGGCAAAAUCAAGACGCUAAUCAGGGGACAUAUCAGAGGACAUCAGGAAAGUGACACAACCUCAGCACACAGAAAACAAAGACUCAUAAAGAAAGAAACAGAAUUGCACAGUUCUAGAGAAAUCUGGACAAAGAAAGGAAGUAGACAAUAUCCAACGCAGAAUCAAAGAAAGCAGAUACUCAUGAAGUCAUCCAAGCAAUUCAAGACAUGACAAAAUGAUCAAUAAGCUCAAGAGGUGAGUUAAAAGCAGAAGAACCUCACAGAUGCACUAUCCGUGUUUCUCUCAAGUGUUUAGGUAAGCA
rnacentral:lncRNA from 1 species